rnacentral:snoRNA from 1 species
AAUUCAUGGUGUGGGCACUUUCUUAGAAUUGACUUGAAAUGUUCCCACGCCUCGUACAAGGACUCACCUUCAAAUUACUUAAAAUUGGCGAUUUUUCGCCUCAACU